AAGUCUCUGUGUUGCGUACCACCGGAGGGAAUUCGCACGACCCAACGACGGACGUCCUUCCAGCGACGUGCCCGCCCCUCGUGCGGGCGCGGCGCGGGACGGACCGCGAGGGCGCGCCCGUGCUCCGAGCCGCACGCCAUGCGAUGCGUCUCGGCCCACGGCCUGCCGCCCGAGCUCUCGGACGCGGUGCACCAGGAGGGCAGGGGGUCGCACGACGGCCUCCGUUUGCCCGAGCUCGGCGUCAAUCGCCCGCACCGAACGACUGCCGUCGUCGCCUCUAGACGCCGCACCCCCCCGGGCGUGUCGGCCGGCCUCGUGCGGCGACGGCGUCGGCUAGGAAUGCU
rnacentral:misc_RNA from 1 species